rnacentral:rRNA from 1 species
GAUGAACGCUGGCGGCGUGCCUAAUACAUGCAAGUCGAGCGAAUGGAUUAAGAGCUUGCUCUUAUGAAGUUAGCGGCGGACGGGUGAGUAACACGUGGGUAACCUGCCCAUAAGACUGGGAUAACUCCGGGAAACCGGGGCUAAUACCGGAUAACAUUUUGAACCGCAUGGUUCGAAAUUGAAAGGCGGCUUCGGCUGUCACUUAUGGAUGGACCCGCGUCGCAUUAGCUAGUUGGUGAGGUAACGGCGCACCAAGGCAACGAUGCGUAGCCGACCUGAGAGGGUGAUCGGCCACACUGGGAGUGAGACACGGCCCAGACUCCUACGGGAGGCAGCAGUAGGGAAUCUUCCGAAAUGGACGAAAGUCUGACGGAGCAACGCCGCGCGAGUGAUGAAGGCUUUCGGGUCGUAAAACUCUGUUGUUAGGGAAGAACAAGUGCUAGUUGAAUAAGCUGGCACCUUGACGGUACCUAACCAGAAAGCCACGGCUAACUACGUGCCAGCCGCCGCAGUAA